UGGAGAGAGAUGAUUUAUUUAUAAUUUAUAUAUAGGUCGAGGGGAAGAUAGGUCUUACAUGAGGAUAAAGAGCCUUGUUUUGUAGCCAAGGAUGACUUGCCUGCCUGCUUCACGAGGCCUUUAAUGUCAUCAAAAGACAAAAAUGAUAAAGGCCGAUGAAUAUUUGGCAGUCAGUGCGCGCACUCCGGUUAGGAUCCUUCUGUGGUAUACAGGCAGUCUCCUUGGCUAGCGAGACGGGCUCUUAUCUCUCAUGCACGACCUUAUCUUCUUCGUGGUGCCUGCAGGAUAAGCUUUAAUUCCAAUGAGACACACAAGAAAGAGGCUCCUUUAUCACUGUCCUAGCUGUGAUUGUACAAGCUAGCUAGCUGCACAAGAAUAUGCGGGUUGCAGGCAGGUCGAUCAGUAGGUGAUCUGAUCAGGGCCUAAUGUCUGAGAAUCUGACCAAGUUAGUACUACAUUAACCCAUGCACCGAGUAUUUUCUUAAUGCAUGUUGUAUUGAUUUAUUCAUAAAUAUUGAUGAGCACAGGUACGUAUUUAUGCUGAUCUAUAAAGUCUGUCUCUCUUUCUCCCAUGGAAGGAGAUUGUUUAUAGCAGUAAUACUUGGUGUUUGAAAUUUGAAUACCAGUGAUCGAUACACUCAAACAAUCCAGACCCAGAAGGGUAACAGGAACCAGAAUAGAUUUUUUUUGGCUAUAUAAUAAUUGGUACCUGUCAGCAUUAGUGCUUUUACUGAGAAAUUUAGUUUUAUGGGUCACACAAAUUAGCCCAUACAUCUUAAAAAAUAAGAUUCAAUUUAAUCAAUAAAAUUUACAGCUUUCUAGUGAA